ensembl:snRNA U6atac minor spliceosomal RNA
UUUUUGCAUGAAAGAAAGCUAGUACUCCCCUUGACAAGGAUGGAAGAGGUCCUUAUGACCUGCAAAAAUAUGGUUAAGGCACUACCACCUACUUUUUGGUAUCUCUUACCAUAUUUGUUU